rnacentral:lncRNA from 1 species
CCACUGCACCCGGCCCAUGAAUGAUUUCUUUAGUGCCAGCCAUAUGGUGGGAAUGGAGCUUGGGUUCCAAUUUGCCUAAGACACACCCUGUCCUAGCAGAGCUCCAGUCUCACGGAGAGGCCGGGUGCAAAGGCAGCACACAAGCUCAAUGGGUGCAGAAGGAAUGAGGCCCCGUGUCAGGGAAUCUGCUUCGCAGACCCCGAUGAGGACAUACAGGACCAGGCUUGCAGAUGUCGAUGGAAAGGAGGAUGGAGAAUCUCUGGAGAGAGGUCUGGGUUGGAGACACAGAAUUGGAGUUGGCAGUGCAGAUCAUCCUAAAGGCUUCCCGGAAUCUGCCAGGAGGAGGCAGUUGGCAGUGAGGCCUUCGAAAGGGGUAGGACGUCUUCAAAUCUUAUUUCUCUGCCUUUUUGUAUUUUAUCUCCACUUUGUCUUAGCUUUCAGCCUAAGGACCUAGAAUGACAAGAUAAAUUUGUGGAGAUUCCUGUGAGAUAUAAGUAAACCCUACUGAACAGGGCAGGAGAAGCAGCUAGUUAUAUUGUAUCCCGAAUGCCAG